rnacentral:ncRNA from 1 species
UUUAAGGCGUUGAUAAGAAGUAGUAGUGUGCGAAGGUAUUCAGUAAGCGGAUGGUUGCUGUGAAUCCGUUAUCCUAGCUCACGAACUUGUCUUGGAGCCUUUUCUGCCGCAAGGUGGGCGUUUGGCGACGUUAUCAGCUGGAAUGAGCCCUAGGAUACGACUAGGGAAAUGUAGGUGGUACCGCGUCACGACGCCCUGCAG